rnacentral:misc_RNA from 1 species
GAAAUGCGAUAAGUAAUGUGAAUUGCAGAAUUCAGUGAAUCAUCGAAUCUUUGAACGCACCUUGCGCUCCUUGGUAUUCCGAGGAGCAUGCCUGUUUGAGUGUCAUGAAAACCCUCAACCCUAGAUUGGUUAAAACCUUUCUUUGGUUUGGAUUUGGACGUUUGCCGAUGAUAAGUCGGCUCGUCUUAAAAGUAAUAGCUGGAUCUGUCUCGCGACAUGGUUUGACUUGGCGUAAUAAGUAUUUCGCUAAGGACAUCUUCGGAUGGCCGCGUUGCAGGACUAAAGACCGCUUUCUAAUCCAUUGAUCUUCGGAUUAAUACUCUUGACAUCUGGCCUCAAAUCAGGUAGGACUACCCGCUGAACUUAAGC